rnacentral:rRNA from 1 species
AACGAACGCUGGCGGCAGGCCUAACACAUGCAAUCCGUACGUGAAGCCACCUUCGGGUGGCGGAAAGUGGCAGACGGGUGAGUAACGCGUCGGAACGUGCCUUUCUGUUCGGAAUAACACAGGGCAACGUGGGCCGAUACCGGAUACGCCCUACGGCGGAAAGAUUCAUUGCCGAAAGACCGGCCCGCGCUGGAUUAGCUAGUUGGUGGGGUAAUGGCCUACCAAGGCGACGAUCCGUAGCUGGUCUGAGAGGAUGAUCAGCCACACUGGGACUGAGACACGGCCCAGACUCCUACGGGAGGCAGCAGUGGGGAAUAUUGCACAAUGGGCGAAAGCCUGAUGCAGCCAUGCCGCGUGGGUGAAGAAGGCCCUAGGGUUGUAAACCCCUUUCAGCGGGGAAGAUAAUGACGGUACCCGCAGAAGAAGUCCCGGCUAACUCCGUGCCAGCCGCCGCCGUAA